GGGCGUGUGGCUCAGUUGGUAGAGCGCCCGCUUAGCAUGGUUCUUCAGAACUCACAGCAUGCGGAAGGUCCCCGGUUCGAUUCCGGGCUCGUCCA